AGGUGAUCGUGGUUUACCAGGACCUCCAGGUCCUCCAGGACACACUGGCUUGGAUGGGCUACCUGGACCAAAAGGUGAUGCUGGACCAAAUGGACAACCUGGCCCAAUAGGGCCACCAGGGCUGCCAGGAAUUGGUCUUCAGGGACCACCAGGACCACCAGGGACUCCAGGGCCAAUAGGCCAACCUGGCUUACAUGGAAUACCAGGAGAGAAGGGAGAUCCAGGACCUCCUGGGCUUGAUGUUCCAGGACUCCCUGGAGAGAGAGGUAGUCCAGGGCUCCCUGGAGCCCCUGGUCUUAUAGGACCUCCAGGAUCACCUGGUAUCCCUGGAAGAGCAGGUGUCCCUGGAUUUCCAGGUGUCAAAGGCGAAAUGGGUAUGAUGGGACCU
rnacentral:lncRNA from 1 species